AUUGACCGCUGGCGGCAGGCCUAACACAUGCAAGUCGAACGAGUGGCGGACGGGUGAGUAAUGUCUGGGAAACUGCCUGAUGGAGGGGGAUAACUACUGGAAACGGUAGCUAAUACCGCAUACCAUCAGAUGUGCCCAGAUGGGCUUAGCUAGUUGGUGGGGUAACGGCGCACCAAGGCGACGAUCCCUAGCUGGUCUGAGAGGAUGACCAGCCACACGUGAACGGAGACACGGUCCAGACUCUGACGGGAGGCAGCAGGGGGUAAUAUUGCACAAUGGGCGCAAGCCUGAUGCAGCCAUGCCGCGUGUAUGAAGAAGGCCUUCGGGUUGUAAAGUACUUUCAGCGGGGAGGCGUUACCCGCAGAAGAAGCACCGGCUAACUCCGUGUCAGCCGCCGCGGUAAUUC
rnacentral:rRNA from 1 species